GCAUCUGUAGCUCAGUUGGAUAGAGUACCUGGCUACGAACCAGGUGGUCGGAGGUUCGAAUCCUUCCAGAGCCA
rnacentral:tRNA from 1 species